rnacentral:misc_RNA from 1 species
GGGAGAAGAACGCCGUGACCCAUUUGCCAGAUAUUAGAAGACGCCUACUCGCAGAUUGUACAGAGAAAUUGGAGGAUCGCUAGACUUGAGUGUGUGUGUGUGUGUGUGUGAUCGAUAGCCAGAUAGAAAAGAAAGCGAAUGGGGCCUGGAGCUGCAUUGACUGCGGCCGCGAAACAAGCUGAACGAUUGAGGAUUGAUGGAAACAACUAUUUCAAAAAGGACCGAUUUGGAGCUGCAAUUGAUGCUUAUACUGAGGCAAUUACGCUGUGCCCUAAUGUUCCCAUUUAUUGGACGAAUCGGGCUCUCUGUCAUCGGAAACGGAAUGAUUGGACGAAAGUUGAAGAGGAUUGUCGCAAAGCGAUUCAACUUGACCACAAUUCUGUGAAGGCCCACUAUAUGUUGGGACUUGCAUUACUACAGAAGAAUGAGUUAGCUGAAGGAAUAAAGGCAUUGCAAAAGGCUCUGGAUCUUGGUAGGGGUGCAGGCCCAAAUGGUUAUAUGGUAGAAGAGAUCUGGCAUGAGCUAGCAAAAGCAAAAUACAUGGAAUGGGAGCAAACAUCUACUAAGCGUUCAUGGGAACUACAAAGCUUGAAAGAAGCCUGUGAGAAUGCUCUUAAGGAAAAACAUUUCCUUGAUAGUUCUGAGACAGAAGGAUUCUUGGAUGAGACAAUUGCCCCCCAUUUGAAGCAACUGGAGGAUUUAGGACAAGUGUUUGAGAAAGCCGUAGAAGAUGACACACCAACAGAGGUGCCGGACUACCUAUGUUGUAAAAUUACGCUUGAUAUAUUCCGUGAUCCUGUGAUUACUCCAAGUGGGGUUUCAUAUGAAAGAGCAUUUAUCCUUGACCAUCUAAAGAAGGUGGGCAAGUUUGAUCCAAUCACACGAGAACCACUUGAUCCAUCACAGCUAAUUCCAAAUUUUGCCAUAAAGGAAGCAGUCCAAGCAUAUCUUGACAAACAUGGUUGGGCUUACAAGAUGGAAUGAAUUUGAUUGUUGGGGGUUUACUCAAAAGAGAAGUUAAUAUUUGAGCUUCAAUGACUGAGGAACUAAUAGCAGGAG